rnacentral:rRNA from 1 species
AACGAACGCUGGCGGCGUGCCUAACACAUGCAAGUCGUGCGAGAGAGUUCCUUCGGGAGCGAGUAAAGCGGCGCACGGGUGAGUAACACGUAGGUAACCUGCCCCCAAGUCUGGGACAACUGGAGGAAACUCCAGCUAAUGCCGGAUGAGACCACGAUCCCCUCGGGGGUUGUGGCCAAAGAUGGCCUCUGCUUGCAAGCUAUCGCUCGGGGAUGGGCCUGCGGGCCAUUAGCUAGUUGGUGAGGUAACGGCUCACCAAGGCAGUGAUGGCUAGCUGGUCUGAGAGGAUGACCAGCCACACUGGGACUGAGACACGGCCCAGACUCCUACGGGAGGCAGCAGUGGGGAAUAUUGCGCAAUGGGCGAAAGCCUGACGCAGCGACGCCGCGUGGGUGAUGAAGGCCUUC